rnacentral:misc_RNA from 1 species
UAUUGUAUUGCGUUAAACGCGGCAUACAUUCCAUGAGACCUUAUUACAGUGUGUGUGUAAAGAUGUAGAACCAUGACAGGAGGACAGAGUCCCCCGAGAGCCAUAGAACUACAGAGGGUGCACAGGUGUGAGUGGAUGUGUGAACAGAGUGUGCACAUGCCCCCGUUUGAGGGACCAGCAACAACUCGUGUUGACAAUUCAGUAAUGAUCCUUCCGCAGGUUCACCUACGGAAA